UGAGGAAUAUUGGUCAAUGGGCGAGAGCCUGAACCAGCCAUGCCGCGUGCAGGAAGACGGUCCUAUGGAUUGUAAACUGCUUUUAUACAGGAAGAAACACUCCCUCGUGAGGGAACUUGACGGUACUGUAGGAAUAAGGAUCGGCUAACUCCGUGCCAGCAGCCGCGGUAAUACGGAGGAUCCAAGCGUUAUCCGGAAUCAUUGGGUUUAAAGGGUCUGUAGGCGGUUUAAUAAGUCAGUGGUGAAAUCUGGUCGCUCAACGAUCAAACGGCCAUUGAUACUGUUAAACUUGAAUUAGUGUGAAGUAACUAGAAUAUGUAGUGUAGCGGUGAAAUGCUUAGAUAUUACAUGGAAUACCAAUUGCGAAGGCAGGUUACUAACACUACAUUGACGCUGAUAGACGAAAGCGUGGGUAGCGAACAGGAUUAGAUACCCUGGUAGUCCACGCCGUAAACGAUGGAUACUAGCUGUUUGGAGCAAUCUGAGUGGCUAAGCGAAAGUGAUAAGUUCCCACCUGGG
rnacentral:rRNA from 1 species